rnacentral:sRNA from 1 species
GGCUUUUGAACCAAAGUGCCCUGGACCAGGUCAGGGCCUACAGCUGUGCUGUCCAGUACAGGAGCCACGAGCCAAAUGUGGCAUUUGAAUUUGAAUUAACUUAGAAAUUCAUUUCCUCACCUGUAGUGGCCACCUCUAUAUUGAGGUGCUCAAUAAGCAAAAGUGGUCAGUGGCUGCUGUAUUGGACAGCACAGAAAAAGAUUUCCAUCACCACAGAAAGGUCGGCUGGCAGCACUGGCCAAGGUGAUGGGGUGUGCUGCACAGUGUAUGUCACUGUGUAGUGGAUGGAGUUUACUGUUUGUGGAAUAAAAACGGCUGUUUCCUUGGUUCUUUGCCUCUUGUCCUUGAGUCCUGGGAAGAGCUGGGGACUGGGGAUUGUUUGCUGAGUGCCUGAACAGGACCUCCUACCCUAUGCCUGCAACCCCCUCCACAAAAAACAAAAAACCCUACCUCCUCCCACCUGGCCAGAAAUUUCUUCUCCUGAUCUGCUCCCCCUGUCCUCCCCAUCCCCAUCUGAUUGUGAUUCCCAGAACUCCCCGGGUUGUUUGGGAGUGUUUCUGAAAGCAUAAUCCAUGGCCAUGGAAAUGAAUCAUCCUACUUCUUGGGGGCAUUGAGAGUCAGUCCACAUCAGCAAGGGUAGAGUGGAGAGGUGGGAGGGCUCUGGGUGGUGGGUCUCUAACUGUAGUGUGCAUCAGAGUCACUGGGGGCACUUGUGAAAAUAAUGUAUGUUCCUGGGGUCCAGAUCCUACUAAUUCAGUUGGUCUGGGUGUGGCCCAGACUUUGACUUUUUAGCAGGCUUCUCAGGAGCUCCUGCUGUGCUCCAUCCUCAGACCACCCCCAGGCUUUGAAGCCAGGCUCAUUGGAUUGAAGCCCGCCCCACCCACCUCCCUUGCUGGUUACAUAACCCUGGAUUUCUGUAAAACAAGCCUUUAGGCGGUUGCCUCCCACUGCCCUCAUCUUCUAUCUUUUCCUCUGGCACACUUGGCAUCAACUGUGUGUUAUUUGCAGUUCCCCCCCACCUCCUACCCCACUCAGUUCUCCCAUCAUAGUGGUUUGGCCUAGAAUGCCCUAUUCCACCAACCAUGCACACCUCUCAACUGCCUGGUUCCCUCUUAUAAAACCAGAUGAGGCUGGCCGGGCACGGUGGCUCACGCCUGUAAUCCCAGCACUUUGGGAAGCCAAGGCGGGCAGAUCACAAGGUCAAGAGAUCGAGACCAUCCUGGCCAACAUGGUGAAACCCUGUCUCUACUAAAAAUACAAAAAAAUUUAGCUGGGCAUAGUGGCACGCGCCUGUAGUCCCAGCUACUCGGUAGGCUGAGGCAGGAGAAUCUCUUGAACCUGGGAGGCAGAGGUUGCAGUGAGCCAAGAUUGCGCCACUGUACUCCAGCCUGGUGACAGAGUGAGACUCUGUCUCAAACACACACACACACACAAACACACACACCCCAGAUGAGAAGUUGCUGCCUCCAGGAAGUUUCCCUUGACGUGUCCGUGCCCCACGCCUUUGCUUCCAGAUUGCCUUGGACUUAACACGUGUUCCUUAUCAGCUGGCUGCUGUCUUUUGACUUCCACCAGAUGGUGUGCUUCCUGGAGGCACAGGUUCUGUCUUUCAUUAAGACCUGACCCAUCUCAGGACGUAGGAAGCACUCUGGGCAAGAGGUAUGAGCCGGGAUGAAGUGGACUCCUUGUCUGGAGGUGGUGCUACACACCUUGGAGGGGCUCCUGGGAGCUACUGAGAAUGUCCCCUAAGUCAGUAUUCCUGCCUCAGCUGAAAUGCCAGUCUUCAGCCUCAUCUACUGCACACUUGAGUCCAUGAGAUUUUAGAGUGGUAAGUGACCUUUGGGGUCUCAGUUUUCCUAUCUGUAAAGGGAGUGGGCUGGACAAUGAACAGCUGUUCUCCAUUCUUUUGUUAUUGGUUCCCAUCCAGAGCCUCCCAGCUAGUUGUCUCAACAUCCCAGGGGAGAAAGCAUAGCUCUUUGUCCAUUGGUUUAUUUAUUCAAUUUAGGAAUAAUGAGUUUAUUGUUUUAUAUGAAUAACCAUACUUAUUUAAAAGAUCAAACUAAACUAAAUAGUACAAACAAGCGAAAUCUCUCCCCAAAGUCUACUAUGGUGCUGUGCAACAGAAAUAUAAUACAAGCCAUAAAUUGAAUUUUCAAUUUCCUAGUAGCUUUUUUAAAAAGUAAAAAGAGGGGCCAGGCACAG